rnacentral:rRNA from 1 species
AUUGAACGCUGGCGGCAGGCCUAACACAUGCAAGUCGAACGGAGCGGCGGACGGGUGAGGAAUAUAUGGGAAUCUGCCCGGUGGAGGGGGAUAACGUAGGGAAACAUAAGCUAAUACCGCAUACGAUUGGAUGAGCCGAUAUGGGAUUAGCUAGUAGGUGGGGUAAAGGCUCACCUAGGCGACGAGCCCUAGCUGGUCUGAGAGGAUGAUCAGCCACACUGGAAUGGAGACACGGUCCAGACUCCUACGGGAGGCAGCAGUGGGGAAUAUUGGACAAUGGGCGAAAGCCUGAUCCAGCCAUGCCGCGUGUGUGAAGAAGGUCUUCGGAUUGUAAAGCACUUUAAGUUGGGAGGCGUUACCAACAGAAGAAGCACCGGCUAACUUCGUGCCAGCAGCCGCGGUAAUAC